GAUGAACGCUAGCGGGAGGCCUAACACAUGCAAGCCGAGCGGUAUUGUUUCUUCGGAAAUGAGAGAGCGGCGUACGGGUGCGGAACACGUGUGCAACCUGCCUUUAUCUGGGGGAUAGCCUUUCGAAAGGAAGAUUAAUACUCCAUAACAUAUUGAUUGGCAUCAAUUAAUAUUGAAAGCUCCGGCGGAUAGAGAUGGGCACGCGCAAGAUUAGCUAGUUGGUGAGGUAACGGCUCACCAAGGCGAUGAUCUUUAGGGGGCCUGAGAGGGUGAUCCCCCACACUGGUACUGAGACACGGACCAGACUCCUACGGGAGGCAGCAGUGAGGAAUAUUGGUCAAUGGGUGCAAGCCUGAACCAGCCAUCCCGCGUGAAGGACGACUGCCCUAUGGGUUGUAAACUUCUUUUGUAUAGGGAUAAACCUACCCUCGUGAGGGUAGCUGAAGGUACUAUACGAAUAAGCACCGGCUAACUCCGUGCCAGCAGCCGCGGUAAUACGGAGGGUGCAAGCGUUAUCCGGAUUUAUUGGGUUUAAAGGGUCCGUAGGCGGACUUAUAAGUCAGUGGUGAAAGCCUGUCGCUUAACGAUAGAACUGCCAUUGAUACUGUAAGUCUUGAGUAUAUUUGAGGUAGCUGGAAUAAGUAGUGUAGCGGUGAAAUGCAUAGAUAUUACUUAGAACACCAAUUGCGAAGGCAGGUUACCAAGAUAUAACUGACGCUGAGGGACGAAAGCGUGGGGAGCGAACAGGAUUAGAUACCCUGGUAGUCCACGCCGUAAACGAUGCUAACUCGUUUUUGGGCUUUAGGGUUCAGAGACCAAGCGAAAGUGAUAAGUUAGCCACCUGGGGAGUACGCUCGCAAGAGUGAAACUCGAAGGAAUUGACGGGGGCCCGCACAAGCGGUGGAUUAUGUGGUUUAAUUCGAUGAUACGCGAGGAACCUUACCAAGACUUAAAUGGGAAUUGACAGCUUUAGAAAUAGAGCUUUCUUCGGACAAUUUUCAAGGUGCUGCAUGGUUGUCGUCAGCUCGUGCCGUGAGGUGUUAGGUUAAGUCCUGCAACGAGCGCAACCCCUGUCACUAGUUGCCAUCAUUCAGUUGGGGACUCUAGUGAGACUGCCUACGCAAGUAGAGAGGAAGGUGGGGAUGACGUCAAAUCAUCACGGCCCUUACGUCUUGGGCCACACACGUAAUACAAUGGCCGGUACAGAGGGCAGCUACACAGCGAUGUGAUGCAAAUCUCGAAAGCCGGUCUCAGUUCGGAUUGGAGUCUGCAACUCGACUCUAUGAAGCUGGAAUCGCUAGUAAUCGCGCAUCAGCCAUGGCGCGGUGAAUACGUUCCCGGGCCU
rnacentral:rRNA from 1 species